rfam:Triticum urartu cultivar G1812 contig127170, whole genome shotgun sequence.
UAGGUACUCCCUCCGUUCCAAAUUACUCGUCACAGAAAUGGAUGUAUCUAGAACUAAAAUACAUCUAGAUACAUCCAUACCCACGACGAGUAAUUUGGAACGGAAGGAGUAGUUU